rnacentral:rRNA from 1 species
AACGAACGCUGGCGGCAUGCCUAACACAUGCAAGUCGAACGAGACCUUCGGGUCUAGUGGCGCACGGGUGCGUAACGCGUGGGAACCUGCCCUUAGGUUCGGAAUAACUCCCCGAAAGGGGUGCUAAUACCGGAUAAUGUCUUCGGACCAAAGAUUUAUCGCCUUUGGAUGGGCCCGCGUUGGAUUAGCUAGUUGGUAGGGUAAAAGCCUACCAAGGCGACGAUCCAUAGCUGGUCUGAGAGGAUGAUCAGCCACACUGGGACUGAGACACGGCCCAGACUCCUACGGGAGGAGGCAGUGGGGAAUAUUGGACAAUGGGCGAAAGCCUGAUCCAGCAAUGCCGCGUGAGUGAUGAAGGCCUUAGGGUUGUAAAGCUCUUUUACCCGGGAUGAUAAUGACAGUACCGGGAGAAUAAGCUCCGGCUAACUCCGUG